CAGUGAGUCCAAAAUACCCAGAAGGCACCUGAUUCCAUCAGAUCUUGAAAGCUAAGCAAGGUCAGAGCUGGCUAGUACUUGGUUGGGGGACCUCAAAGUAAUUCGUAAGCUAUAUGC
rnacentral:rRNA from 1 species